rnacentral:lncRNA from 1 species
CCCUUCUGUUGAAAUUAAUGUUGACUCCUUCGGAAGCCAUGAAGUUACAGAGAUCAUCAGCCUGCUCUAUGAUUUCGACGUUCCCCCUCGCGUCGGGAGAAACCUUGUGCAGAAAAUUCAAACAGAGUUGACCUCGAAGGUUUCCCUUCUCGUCGAAAUAACAAAAUUCAUGAACUUUGUACAUAAGUAUGGCGAAGAACCUGAAAUUACCAGAAUCGUAGACGAAUUUAGAGCGAAUCUCAGCUUGUCGGAACCUAAAACCACACCUGCUGCCAAUUCCGCCAUUGAAGCUUUGCGGAAAUUCGUCUAUGAUGAAGAAGAUGAUGAUUGUAAAAGUAAACAACACUGCACCAUAU